UGGCUUGUUGCUCAGUGGUUAGAGCACCAGUCCAAGGACUUGAAGGGUCGUGGGUUCGAUUCCUUUCAAGGCAC
rnacentral:tRNA from 1 species